GUUAUGUUGAUUUUGGUAAACCUUAAAAUUGAAUACAAGGAUGCAGAUAUGGGAAGCAGGUUUGAGCCCUGCACGGUCCCGCCGCUGUGUUGGAGGAGUUCUCCAUGAUUUGCCACUGGUUAACAGCCGGGAAGGUUUGGAGAGUGAUGAAGCCUGAGUCAGAAUACCUGUUUGCAGCCGGGGAGUGGU
rnacentral:ncRNA from 2 species